AUUGAACGCUGGCGGCAUGCCUUACACAUGCAAGUCGAACGGCAGCACGGGAGCAAUCCUGGUGGCGAGUGGCGAACGGGUGAGUAAAGUAUCGGAACGUGCCCAGUCGUGGGGGAUAACGUAGCGAAAGUUACGCUAAUACCGCAAACGAUCUAUGGAUGAAAGCGGGGGAUCGCAAGACCUCGCGCGAUUGGAGCGGCCGAUAUCAGAUUAGGUAGUUGGUGGGGUAAAGGCUCACCAAGCCGACGAUCUGUAGCUGGUCUGAGAGGACGACCAGCCGCACUGGGACUGAGACACGGCCCAGACUCCUACGGGAGGCAGCAGUGGGGAAUUUUGGACAAUGGGCGCAAGCCUGAUCCAGCCAUGCCGCGUGCAGGAUGAAGGCCUUCGGAUUGUAAACUGCUUUUGUACGGAACGAAAAGGUUUGACUUAAUACGUUGGACUCAUGACGGUACCGUAAGAAUAAGCACCGGCUAACUACGUGCCAGCAGCCGCGGUAA
rnacentral:rRNA from 1 species